UGGGGAAUAUUGGACAAUGGGGGCAACCCUGAUCCAGCCAUGCCGCGUGUGUGAAGAAGGCCUUUUGGUUGUAAAGCACUUUAAGCAGGGAGGAGAGGCUAAUGGUUAAUACCCAUUAGAUUAGACGUUACCUGCAGAAUAAGCACCGGCUAACUCUGUGCCAGCAGCCGCGGUAAUACAGAGGGUGCGAGCGUUAAUCGGAAUUACUGGGCGUAAAGCGAGUGUAGGUGGCUCAUUAAGUCACAUGUGAAAUCCCCGGGCUUAACCUGGGAACUGCAUGUGAUACUGGUGGUGCUAGAAUAUGUGAGAGGGAAGUAGAAUUCCCAGGUGUAGCGGUGAAAUGCGUAGAGAUCUGGAGGAAUACCGAUGGCGAAGGCAGCUUCCUGGCAUAAUAUUGACACUGAGAUUCGAAAGCGUGGGUAGCAGACAGGAUUAGAUACCCCGGUAGUCCACGCCGUAAACGAUGUCUACUAGCCGUUGGGGUCCUUGAGACUUUAGUGGCGCAGUUAAACGCGAUAAGUAGACCGCCUGGGGAGUACGGCCGCAAGGUU
rnacentral:rRNA from 1 species